GACGAACGCUGGCGGCGUGCUUAACACAUGCAAGUCGAACGGAAAGGCCCUGCUUUUGUGGGGUGCUCGAGUGGCGAACGGGUGAGUAACACGUGAGUAACCUGCCCUUGACUUUGGGAUAACUUCAGGAAACUGGGGCUAAUACCGGAUAGGAGCUCCUGCUGCAUGGUGGGGGUUGGAAAGUUUCGGCGGUUGGGGAUGGACUCGCGGCUUAUCAGCUUGUUGGUGGGGUAGUGGCUUACCAAGGCUUUGACGGGUAGCCGGCCUGAGAGGGUGACCGGCCACAUUGGGACUGAGAGACGGCCCAGACUCCUACGGGAGGCAGCAGUGGGGAAUAUUGCACAACGGGCGGAAGCCUGAUGCAGCAACGCCGCGUGCGGGAUGACGGCCUUCGGGUUGUAAACCGCUUUCGCCUGUGACGAAGCGUGAGUGACGGUAAUGGGUAAAGAAGCACCGGCUAACUACGUG
rnacentral:rRNA from 1 species